rnacentral:rRNA from 1 species
UACGAGGGGGGCGAGCGUUGUUCGGAAUUAUUGGGCGUAAAGGGCGCGUAGGCGGUAGGAUAAGUCUUGUGUGAAAUCUUCGGGCUCAACUCGAAGUCUGCACGAGAAACUGUCUGGCUUGAGUGUGGGAGAGGUGAGUGGAAUUCCUGGUGUAGCGGUGAAAUGCGUAGAUAUCAGGAGGAACACCUGUGGCGAAAGCGGCUCACUGGACCACAACUGACGCUGAGGCGCGAAAGCUAGGGGAGCAAACAGG